GUAUGACAGUGAUGUAUCUGCACUGAAUGCAUAAAAGUGCGACCCUGCCUCCGUGUCAGCUCUCUACUAAGGUAGGCAGUGAUUUGCUUUCCACAAACCCACAAACUUUUGUGUCCACUUUAUUUGUCUGUUUCGUUCAUCUUAGGGGUGAAGGCGGAAUUUCCACCACACUAUUUGACCAAGAGUCAAAUACCUUGCCAGACUUCCGGGGUGCUCGUUGAUGGGCUCAGGAAUGACCAGAUGCACACGUCUUUUGAGUCAGUAACACAGAAAAGUAUUUAAUCCCGAACAAAUAGUCUAAUACAGCAUA